AAUAUUGCACAAUGGGGGAAACCCUGAUGCAGCGACGCCGCGUGAGCGAAGAAGGCCUUCGGGUCGUAAAGCUCUGUCCUAAGGGAAGAAACGGACGGUACCUUAGGAGGAAGCCCCGGCUAACGACGUGCCAGCAGCCGCGGUAAUCCCUAGGGGGCGAUCGUUAUCCGGAAUUACUGGGCGUAAAGGGUUCGUAGGCAGCCUUUUAAGCACGGUGUGAAAGGCUACGGCUUAACCGUAGUUAGCAUUUGAAACUAAAAGGCUUGAGUGCAGGAGAGGAGAGUGGAAUUCCUAGUGUAGCGGUGAAAUGCGUAGAUAUUAGGAGGAACACCAGUGGCGAAGGCGACUCUCUGGACUGCAACUGACGCUGAGGCACGAAAGCGUGGGGAGCGAAC
rnacentral:rRNA from 1 species